rnacentral:rRNA from 1 species
CCUGUCUUAGUGGCGGACGGGUGAGUAACGCGUGGGCAACCUGCCCUGUACCGGGGGAUAACACUUAGAAAUAGGUGCUAAUACCGCAUAAUAAGGAAGACCGCAUGGUGAUCCUUUGAAAACUCCGGUGGUACAGGAUGGGCCCGCGUCUGAUUAGCCAGUUGGCGGGGUAACGGCCCACCAAAGCGACGAUCAGCAGCCGGCCUGAGAGGGUGGACGGCCACACUGGGACUGAGACACGGCCCAGACUCCUACGGGAGGCAGCAG